rnacentral:rRNA from 1 species
GAGGGGAGCCUACACAUGCAGUCGAGCGGAACGAGUUAUCUGAACCUUCGGGGAACGAUAACGGCGUCGAGCGGCGGACGGGUGAGUAAUGCCUAGGAAAUUGCCCUGAUGUGGGGGAUAACCAUUGGAAACGAUGGCUAAUACCGCAUAAUACCUACGGGUCAAAGAGGGGGACCUUCGGGCCUCUCGCGUCAGGAUAUGCCUAGGUGGGAUUAGCUAGUUGGUGAGGUAAUGGCUCACCAAGGCGACGAUCCCUAGCUGGUCUGAGAGGAUGAUCAGCCACACUGGAACUGAGACACGGUCCAGACUCCUACGGGAGGCAGCAGUGGGGAAUAUUGCACAAUGGGCGCAAGCCUGAUGCAGCCAUGCCGCGUGUGUGAAGAAGGCCUUCGGGUUGUAAAGCACUUUCAGUCGUGAGGAAGGUAGUGUAGUUAAUAGCUGCAUUAUUUGACGUUAGCGACAGAAGAAGCACCGGCUAACUCCGUGCCAGCAGCCGCGGUAAUACGGAGGGUGCGAGCGUUAAUCGGAAUUACUGGGCGUAAAGCGCAUGCAGGUGGUUUGUUAAGUCAGAUGUGAAAGCCCGGGGCUCAACCUCGGAAUAGCAUUUGAAACUGGCAGACUAGAGUACUGUAGAGGGGGGUAGAAUUUCAGGUGUAGCGGUGAAAUGCGUAGAGAUCUGAAGGAAUACCGGUGGCGAAGGCGGCCCCCUGGACAGAUACUGACACUCAGAUGCGAAAGCGUGGGGAGCAAACAGGAUUAGAUACCCUGGUAGUCCACGCCGUAAACGAUGUCUACUUGGAGGUUGUGGCCUUGAGCCGUGGCUUUCGGAGCUAACGCGUUAAGUAGACCGCCUGGGGAGUACGGUCGCAAGAUUAAAACUCAAAUGAAUUGACGGGGGCCCGCACAAGCGGUGGAGCAUGUGGUUUAAUUCGAUGCAACGCGAAGAACCUUACCUACUCUUGACAUCCAGAGAACUUUCCAGAGAUGGAUUGGUGCCUUCGGGAACUCUGAGACAGGUGCUGCAUGGCUGUCGUCAGCUCGUGUUGUGAAAUGUUGGGUUA